GACGAACGCUGGCGGCGUGCCUAAUACAUGCAAGUCGAGCGGACGAAUCGAAAGCUUGCUUUUGAUUCGUUAGCGGCGGACGGGUGAGUAACACGUGGGCAACCUGCCCUGUAGACGGGGAUAACACCGAGAAAUCGGUGCUAAUACCGGAUAACACGAAAUGUCGCAUGACGUUUCGUUGAAAGACGGCGCAAGCUGCCGCUACAGGAUGGGCCCGCGGCGCAUUAGCUAGUUGGUGAGGUAACGGCUCACCAAGGCGACGAUAUGUAGCCGACCUGAGAGGGUGAUCGGCCACACUGGGACUGAGACACGGCCCAGACUCCUACGGGAGGCAGCAGUAGGGAAUCUUCCGCAAUGGACGAAAGUCUGACGGAGCAACGCCGCGUGAGCGAAGAAGGCCUUCGGGUCGUAAAGCUCUGUUGUUAGGGAAGAACAAGUAACGCAGUAACUGGCGUUACCGUGACGGUACCUAACGAGAAAGCCACGGCUAACUACGUG
rnacentral:rRNA from 1 species